rnacentral:rRNA from 1 species
GACGAACGCUGGCGGCGUGCCUAAUACAUGCAAGUCGAACGAGAGCGACCGGUGCUUGCACUGGUCAAUCUAGUGGCGAACGGGUGAGUAACACGUGGGUAACCUGCCCAUCAGAGGGGGAUAACAUCCGGAAUCGGAUGCUAAAACCGCAUAGGUCUUCGAACCGCAUGGUUUGAAGAGGAAAAGAGGCGCAAGCUUCUGCUGAUGGAUGGACCCGCGGUGCAUUAGCUAGUUGGUGAGGUAACGGCUCACCAAGGCCGUGAUGCAUAGCCGACCUGAGAGGGUGAUCGGCCACAUUGGGACUGAGACACGGCCCAAACUCCUACGGGAGGCAGCAGUAGGGAAUCUUCCGCAAUGGACGCAAGUCUGACGGAGCAACGCCGCGUGAGUGAAGAAGGUUUUCGGAUCGUAAAACUCUGUUGUUAGAGAAGAACAAGUGCUAGAGUAACUGUUAGCGCCUUGACGGUAUCUAACCAGAAAGCCACGGCUAACUACGUG